CCAAUGGGCAGCAGCUGACAAACCUGGUAUUCCUUGUUAACCAAGUAUAAAUUUUUUAAAUGAAUGAAUCAAAGUGACUAGAAUUAAUGAUGUUUAUCACAGCACUUGCAACUCUCAUUCACCUCUUCCAUUUACGUUUUAUAAAGCUGAGCUGAUGUUGGCAUCAUAGUCCUCUUCCAGAGAAGUGCUUUUCACCAGCCCCGGGCAAGAAGUUCUUUGCAGAAAAAGGAGACCUCAAGCACUGGAUGUGAAGGUGCAAUCACAUCACUGCUUUGCAGUCUGGCUGGCAUCAGCUCUCACAGCUAGGGCACAGCUGGGGCAUUCUCAGAGUUGAUAUAAGACCAAUUUGUGAGAUCUUUCACACCAGACCCUGCAAGGGCAUGAGCUCUGGGAGGCUGGAGUGUCAGGUCUGGAGACAGAACCAUAACUGAAAAGUGUUCCUUCCAGUUCAAGGCAGUAUUUACAGAGGGUGUGGAGGGAAGCAUGAGGCUGAGCAGAGGCAUGAGAUGGCUCCACUGGUGCAACAAGGGAUUUUGGGGGCAGGGGAGAGGAAGAAAGCAGGAAAUGUGAUGGGACUGUAGAAGAGCAGCAAGCACAGCAGGACCAGCAGCAGCCAGAAAACAGGCUUAGCAGGGUAUUGCAAGGCUGGCACGUUUGGCUCCUGCCUUGGCAAGCUUUGGGAACCUGAGUUAUAGCUGGAAACUUCCCCUGGCUCGGGUUUCUGGGUCACCUGUGAUGCUCAGACUGUUCCUAGCAUCUGACAUUACAGCUGUUGAGGUCCAAGACAGACACUACCAGCAACGGGCUCCCAAUACUUUUUUCCCCACAUUUCUCCUCCUUUUCCCUCUUUGUCUCCUUCUUCCUCCCAACACUGGGGUACAAACAACUUCUUCACAUUAAGUUAACCUAACAGCUAACACCUGAAGCAAAAAAGAUGUAUAUUUGUAAGAAGACCUCCAACCUCAGCGUGUUUUUCCUUCAUCCAGCACAAAUGUGCGUGACCAGAUGGACCAGAUAUGCAACCUCUACCCCUCCACGCACCACAUCUGAGCAGUCUCUCCAGAUGUGUUUGCAAGUCUGGACAACCCAGGACAGCCCAGCACAACCCUAUUCAACAUUGCUGGGGCCAUCCUUCAUCUCCUUAGUCUCGCUGCCCCUGCACAGUGAGACAUCCCCCUCCUGAUCCUUUCUUCUGCUUCACACUUGCUUUUUCUGCAGAAGUCCCUCUGGGUAUCAUGCUACCAGUAGAUCACAUCUGAAUUUUGCAUCUGUGAAUGUAAGGCUUGUGUCUCUUCUUGCCAAGUCCAUCUCAGAUGGCUGGGGGGUCAGGGCAGCCACGUCCCCCCUGCACCUCCAACCCCCAAUUCCCCACAGCCCUGCACUGCAGAGCUGCUAGGAGCCAGGGCAGGAGGACAGUUUUGUUAGCAUCAAUACCGAAGCAGCAUUUUAAGCCAGUCACAAGCCAAGGCUGGGUUUUCACAACAAAAAUUUGGAUUUAGAGGGUGGACUCCCUCCUGAAUCCUGAAAACCCACUGCCUGGUGGAUGCCUAAUUCUGCAAGUAGGUCACGCCUGCUCUCUGCCUCUGGGUACGGCGGAGACUUGACAGGUCUAAAUAAUAACUCUUAUCUCCUCGCUCUUUGAUGUGAGAUGUCACUAAGAUGUUCCCUGCCAUUCACUUUUCAUUUCUCCUCUUCCCUUUCUGUAAAACUCUGCUGAACACACAAGUUAAUGAAUGAUAAGACAUUUCUAGGUCCCACCAGUUUUGGCAGCACACAGUCUCCCCUUGCCAGCCUCUGACGUGGCCCUUUGCAUUGCCCUGCUGUGGGAGACCAGCUGGCAGGACUGUGAUGUCCAGUGUGCAGAGCCCAAAGUUGACAGCCCUCUGCCUAUAAAAGAAUCACAAGCUUUACUUGCUGGGUGUGCAAGGAUGUGCGCAUGCAUAUGCACAGUCUUUACAUCAAAAUGCUGCUUGUGUGUGACACCGCGGAUAACAUCUCAUCCUGUCCUCUUACCGUCUCCAGCUCAUCACUCUGUAAAGAGUUGCAGAUCUAAGCUUUAAAUAAAGCUGGGAGUUGAAAGCUGUGCAAGGGAAUCCCAUUAACAGAAGCUGUGUCAAUGCCAUUGGCGGCUCAAAUGCUAAGAUACAAUGCAUACAUGGUUUCUUACUCUUGCAUUUUACCGGUACGUAUUCAGCUGGGUCUUUGUCAUAAAGGUUUCAGCUUCUACAGGGAGUCUUUUAAAGACCUUGCCCUAAUUAUGAAGCAAUUCCAGUGACAUUUUAAAUUAUGGGUGAGUUUUACAUAAGUCUUUUGAUACGUGUUGUUAUGACAUGUAAAAUUUUAUCUUUGCCAGAUGCAGUGAAUUAUGUAAGAUCUUUGUUUUGCAUUUGUCAGGGUAAUUUGAACCAUUGCAGAUUUAACAAAUGCACUUUCAAAGGACCCAAUCCAGCACACAGCUGUGAUAGUACAGAUAAGCUUCAUAAACUUUAUUAAAUUUCUAUUAAAUUAUAUAAGCUCUCAGACAUGUUUAUGUGACAGUGUUAAAGCUGCAAAGUCAAGCAUGCAAGGAGUAGAAAAAAGUCUUAUCCUGAAACGCAGCCCCUUUCCUGGGCUUCCAGUGGUGGCUCAUUAUAUGAUCAAAUGCUGUUUUUUUCCAUAGGGGCCAACCUCAGUCGCUGAACAGACUGCCUGAUGCAAAUCAAUGGGCAGCAAUUCAAAAAUCUGUUUUCUUCCCGUCAUUCAGUGUGUGGCCCCAGCCCUUGUUUACUGCAUACUGCUUAGCCUUGCUGUAAAGAUGAAAUACUGUUUCCGCCUGGGUUUUUCCAUGACACUCAUUACUGCGGUGUUUGUUUAUUUCACAUGCAAACUAUUAAUUAAUUUGUCUCUGUGAAGCCCAGUAAGGCACGGAAGAAGCAUAGAUAAGGAACAGAGACACAGAAAGAGUCAAGUCAAGAAUGUCAAUUAAUUUGGGAUGUUCAACUCGAGAUGCUCAAGAGCUGAUACCUCCAUGCAUGUAUUAUUUAUUUGUCUGCUUUAGUGCUGCUGUGCCUUUCAGCAUCCAAAGGGCAGGACCACAGAAGACAGCUUCUGCCUGAUCAGAGAGGCUCACAGAGUUCAGCCUGCUAGUGGCCAUCACUUCCAUCACUAAAGGAGUCCCAUGUGCUGUGGGUCAAAAGUGGAUGAAAAUUUCUCUUGCUUGGACUGUAGCAUGCAGCAGUAACUUGAAGGAGGGCUUGCAUCACACUAGAAAGUACAUGGUCACGGGAAUGCAGCUGCAGAGGCCAUACUGAGCUCACCAGCCUCCUUGGCCUUCUUCAGAUCACAAUUCACCAGCUCCCAGACCAGAAAUGAGAGACCUGAGCACCACUGCAGAAACUUUCACUUGUCUGAGCUCCAGGAGUAUUUAUAUAAUUUAAUCGAUAAAUUGCAUUGAUUUAUUUGCACUAAGUAACUCCUUGGGAUCUGGAUAAUAGAUAAGGGUGUGCAUGGUGCUGUACAAACACAUCAUAAAUAAAUGUAGCUUGCAAAUCGA